rnacentral:tRNA from 1 species
CAAAGUGAAGCUUAAAUAAAGCAUCUGGCCUACACCCAGAAGAGUUCACAUCUAAUGACCACUUUGA